CCUACGGGAGGCAGCAGUGAGGAAUAUUGGUCAAUGGUCGGGAGACUGAACCAGCCAAGCCGCGUGAGGGAUGAAGGUACUGAGUGUUGUAAACCUCUUUUGUCAGGGAACAAAGGCGGGCACGUGUCCCCGGAUGAGUGUACCUGAAGAAUAAGCAUCGGCUAACUCCGUGCCAGCAGCCGCGGUAAUACGGAGGGUGCAAGCGUUACUCGGAAUUACUGGGUGUAAAGGGCGCGUAGGGGGGAUAGCAAGUCAGUUGUGAAAUCCUAGGGCUUAACCAUAGAACUGCAAUUGAUACUGGCAGUCUAGAGUAUAGUAGAGGUAGGUGGAAUUCGUGGUGUAGCGGUGAAAUGCGUAGAGAUCACGAAGAACACUGAUUGCGAAGGCAGCCUGCUAGAA
rnacentral:rRNA from 1 species